rnacentral:rRNA from 1 species
UACAGAGGUCUCAAGCGUUGUUCGGAUUCAUUGGGCGUAAAGGGUGCGUAGGCGGCGCGGUUAAGUCGGGUGUGAAAUCUUGGGAGCUUAACUCCGAAACUGCAUUCGAUACUGCCGUGCUUGAGGACUGGAGGAGGAGACUGGAAUUUGACGGUGUAGCGGUGAAAUGCGUAGAUAUCGUAAGGAAGACCAGUGGCGAAGGCGGGG